UACAGAGGGUGCGAGCGUUGUCCGGAAUUACUGGGCGUAAAGGGCUCGUAGGUGGCCAAUUAAGUCAGACGUGAAAUCCCCAGGCUCAACCUGGGAACUGCGUCUGAUACUGGUUGCUUGAAUUCGGGAGAGGGAUGCAGAAUUCCAGGUGUAGCGGUGAAAUGCGUAGAUAUUCGGAAGAACACCAGUGGCGAAGGCGGCUCACUGGACUGGUAUUGACGCUGAGGUGCGAAAGCCGAUGGGGAG
rnacentral:rRNA from 1 species